rnacentral:lncRNA from 1 species
AGCAUUUUUAGCUCACCUGGCCCAAAGGGCCAAGUGAGCUUUUCUCAUCACUUGGCGUCCGGCGUCCGUCGUCCGUCGUCGUCCGGCGUUAGCUUUUACAAAAAUCUUCUCCUCUGAAACUACUGGGCCAAAUUUAACCAAACUUGGCCACAAUCAUCCUUGGGGUAUCUAGUUUAAAAAAUGUGUGGCUUGACCCGGUCAACCAACCAAGAUGGCCGCCAUGGCUAAAAAUAG